CCUCAACAUUUGAGUCACUAGUUGGAUACUGAACAUCUGAACUUGCAAGUGUUCGUCGUAAGUCUUGGCUGGACUGCCGAAGAGGCAUCUCUAAUGUAGACUUCUUGGAGUCUUUGCCAGCGAAUGCUUUAUAUGCAGAAUCAGUGUGUAUCGUCUCCAUGACUGAACCAAAAAAGUUUGUCACGGGUACCUCUUCUAGUCGGCGAGGGUAUAGAUCUGUUCGAUAAUAUGCAGUUGACAUCAGCGUAUUUGGGUUAUAUGAACUGAAAAGACUGCAACAGGAAAAAGAGAAAGGAGAUUCUAUCAAAAAGAGUGCACAUUGACAAACAGACAUAGUUUAGAACAACAACCAAAACA